AAAACCGUUCAGGUGCGCUCCCUCCGCCUCAGGUGUGAGCCGUCUUCCCCCAGGCACCGCUGACGGCUGCUGACGGCUGCACAGUCCGACGACACUGCUACUUGCAUCUCCCAGUACGACGUGACCGGGGGGCUUCUGUGGGCCGUCUUCUCCCCCCGGAGCUGCUCUGAGUCUGCACAUCUGCCUUCUGCUCUGCCACAGACUCCCCGAAGCCAGCUGUCUUGUGCAAUCUCUCCCACUUCCAUAACUGCACCUAGGAUGGGGAGCAUCUGUAGCCGGUCGACCGGCCGAGGCACCCAGGCACCCCCAAAGACAUCUUCUCCCUGGCCUUUCAUGGUGUUGGCCACCCCGGCCAUGGAGUAUCCCAGACUACGCUCUGUUUUAUAACUCCGAAGAAGUUCAAAGAUAAAGCCGUCGGUGGGCUCCAGCUUCACCUCUCCUGCUGGCUGCGGUGCUCCCGGGGGCACCAAAGGCUACCCGGGACGCCCCCUUCUGGAGUUGGAAUUUCCCACCCAGGCAGAGAUGACAUUACUCGGCCACGCCCAAUAAAGGAAAUGAAUAAAGCCUACUCAGAAGAGUCUCGAAGGCUCGUCAGAGAACAAAAUCAUUUCCUCAGUCACGUUUUUCUCUGUUUGCAGAAAAUUAUUUUUAGAAUUUUAUUAAAUAAACUGGAAACUGAGAUGAUA